AGGGUUAGGGUUAGGCACAGCCGCAUCCCCACCCUGAUAUCUUUUAUAGCUCCCACAGAAGAAAAAAGAGCAGAGUGCCAUAUGGUAG